GAGGGUAUAGCUCAGUGGUAGAGUGCGUGCUUAGCAUGCAAGAGGUCAUGGGUUCAAUCCUCAGUACCUCCA
rnacentral:tRNA from 1 species